rnacentral:rRNA from 1 species
ACGUUGGAGAGUUUGAUCCUGGCUCAGGACGAACGCUGGCGGCGUGCUUAAUGCAUGCAAGUCGAGCGAGGCUCCUCGGGUGAGCAAUCACCUGGGGUGACCUAGCGGCGAACGGGUGAGUAACACGUGAGCAACCUGCCCCGAAGACCGGGAUAGCCCGGGGAAACCCGGAUUAAUACCGGAUGUCCUGCGCGGAUCGCAUGGUCUGCGCAGGAAAGCUCAGGCGCUUCGGGAUGGGCUCGCGACCUAUCAGCUUGUUGGUGGGGUAACGGCCUACCAAGGCGACGACGGGUAGCUGGUCUGAGAGGACGAUCAGCCACACUGGGACUGAGACACGGCCCAGACUCCUACGGGAGGCAGCAGCAGGGAAUCUUGCGCAAUGGGCGAAAGCCUGACGCAGCGACGCCGCGUGGGGGAUGAAGGCUCUCGGGUUGUAAACCCCUUUCAGGAGGGACGAAGCGAAAGUGACGGUACCUCCAGAAGAAGCCCCGGCCAACUACGUGCCAGCAGCCGCGGUAAUACGUAGGGGGCGAGCGUUGUCCGGAUUUAUUGGGCGUAAAGCGCGCGCAGGUGGUUGUGCAAGUCCUGUGUGAAAGCUCCUGGCUUAACCGGGAGAGGUCAUGGGAGACUGCGCGACUGGAGGCAGGCAGAGGCCGGUGGAAUUCCCGGUGUAGUGGUGAAAUGCGUAGAGAUCGGGAGGAACACCCGUGGCGAAGGCGGCCGGCUGGGCC